rnacentral:snoRNA from 1 species
AACCCAUGCUGAGGGCACCUUCUCAAUAGAUCCUUGUAUCUCUCCCAUUCAUCGUAAAGUGUUUCUAAAUCCAUCUGCACAAAAGAAGAGAUAUCAUUAUGUAAUU